UGACUCUGCGAGAAGUCCAUUGAACCUUAUCAUUUAGAGGAAGGAGAAGUCGUAGCGAGGUUUCCGUAGGUGAACCUGCGGAAGGAUCAUUG
rnacentral:rRNA from 1 species